CAGAUGUCCGCAUGGCUUCAAGGCAGGCAUAUAAUUUGCUACACAUGCUGCCAUUGCAUUUCAAUAAACCAUAGGCUCUGGACCCAGAUGUGGAGAAGUUGGUAGGGUGUUCAAACAUUCCCACGUGCUCGGUGACAAAAUCAGUAUAAUCGGUCAGCUUUCACCGUGCCGUCAGCCUGCCACAAAAUUCAUUCCCUCCAAGAGUGCCAGCACCGUGAAGGCUUCAUGGUGAUGGCAAAAAGACUCCACCAAAGCUAGCUAGAUGUAUAAGACUAGCAAGGUUUGUUUCCAUUUUCUUUACCC